AAUAAUUUUCGACUCGCAGUGUCGUCGCCGUGGUAUAACGCGGGGAUCGGGGUACGACGAAGGAUGUUAUCGAGGAUGAAAAAACGUGAUCUCUAUCAAUCGUUUAUAUUCUACAAGACCGCGAGGGAUUUGAUUGCGGUCGAGGGGCGGGAUACGGAGGGACGGAGGGACGGAUCCCUCGAGGAGAGAACAUCUUCUUCUUCCUUCCUUCCUGGGGGGGGGGGAUAUCGUUUACCAGAUUCAGAUCACAUGCGGACAACGUUGGAAAACUGAUGCCCGAACGCGUUAUGGGCUGAGUAUAUUAUCCACCUCCACCUCCACCCCCCCGCACCCGCACCGCCGAAUGAAAAGGAAAAAGAAAAAGAAGGACAGAAAUAAUAU